GGAAUUAUUGGGCGUAAAGAGCUCGUAGGCGGUUUGUCGCGUCUGCCGUGAAAGUCCGGGGCUCAACUCCGGAUCUGCGGUGGGUACGGGCAGACUAGAGUGAUGUAGGGGAGACUGGAAUUCCUGGUGUAGCGGUGAAAUGCGCAGAUAUCAGGAGGAACACCGAUGGCGAAGGCAGGUCUCUGGGCAUUAACUGACGCUGAGGAGCGAAAGCAUGGGGAGCGAACAGGAUUAGAUACCCUGGUAGUCCAUGCCGUAAACGUUGGGCACUAGGUGUGGGGGACAUUCCACGUUUUCCGCGCCGUAGCUAACGCAUUAAGUGCCCCGCCUGGGGAGUACGGCCGCAAGGCUAAAACUCAAAGGAAUUGACGGGGGCCCGCACAAGCGGCGGAGCAUGCGGAUUAAUUCGAUGCAACGCGAAGAACCUUACCAAGGCUUGACAUGAACCGGAAAGACCUGGAAACAGGUGCCCCGCUUGCGGUCGGUUUACAGGUGGUGCAUGGUUGUCGUCAGCUCGUGUCGUGAGAUGUUGGGUUAAGUCCCGCAACGAGCGCAACCCUCGUUCUAUGUUGCCAGCACGUGAUGGUGGGGACUCAUAGGAGACUGCCGGGGUCAACUCGGAGGAAGGUGGGGACGACGUCAAAUCAUCAUGCCCCUUAUGUCUUGGGCUUCACGCAUGCUACAAUGGCCGGUACAAAGGGUUGCGAUACUGUGAGGUGGAGCUAAUCCCAAAAAGCCGGUCUCAGUUCGGAUUGGGGUCUGCAACUCGACCCCAUGAAGUCGGAGUCGCUAGUAAUCGCAGAUCAGCAACGCUGCGGUGAAUACGUUCCCGGGCCUUGUACACACCGCCCGUCAAGUCACGAAAGUUGGUAACACCCGAAGCCGGUGGCCUAACCCCUUGGGGAGGGAG
rnacentral:rRNA from 1 species